UACGUAGGGUGCAAGCGUUAAUCGGAAUUACUGGGCGUAAAGCGUGCGCAGGCGGUUGUGCAAGACAGAUGUGAAAUCCCCGGGCUCAACCUGGGAAUUGCAUUUGUGACUGCACGGCUAGAGUGUGUCGGAGGGGGGUAGAAUUCCACGUGUAGCAGUGAAAUGCGUAGAGAUGUGGAGGAAUACCGAUGGCGAAGGCAGCCCCCUGGGCCAAUACUGACGCUCAUGGCACGAAAGCGUGGGGAGCAAACAGG
rnacentral:rRNA from 1 species